rnacentral:rRNA from 1 species
GAUGAACGCUGGCGGCGUGCCUAAUACAUGCAAGUCGAACGCUUCACUUCGGUGAAGAGUGGCGAACGGGUGAGUAAUACAUAAGUAACCUGGCAUCUACAGGGGGAUAACUGAUGGAAACGUCAGCUAAGACCGCAUAGGUGUAGAGAUCGCAUGAACUCUAUAUGAAAAGUGCUACGGGACUGGUAGAUGAUGGACUUAUGGCGCAUUAGCUUGUUGGUAGGGUAACGGCCUACCAAGGCGACGAUGCGUAGCCGACCUGAGAGGGUGACCGGCCACACUGGGACUGAGACACGGCCCAGACUCCUACGGGAGGCAGCAGUAGGGAAUUUUCGGCAAUGGGGGAAACCCUGACCGAGCAACGCCGCGUGAAGGAAGAAGUAAUUCGUUAUGUAAACUUCUGUCAUAGAGGAAGAACGGUGGAUAUAGGGAAUGAUAUCCAAGUGACGGUACUCUAUAA